UGACCUUCCCAUUUAAAAAAAAAAAAAAACACAUGAUAGUCACAAGCAGUGUGCUUACUUGUUUGAUUAAUUAAAAUAAAUUAUGUGGCUGGGAGAGAUUUCUUCAAAGGAAGGAAUUAGUGAGCUGCUUAGUGGAUAAUUAUGAAUCAAAGCCAGCUGUCAUGUGAUCAUCAAGCCUGGUGUAGACUCAAGACACUUAGCUUACCAUUAGAUGAUUACUCUCCACUUUCCUCUCUCCCUCCCUGACGUGAAGAAACAAAACUCAUCAGAGAAAGAAAAAAAUUGCAGAGAGAAAACAGUGAGAAAGAAGAGAAAAAGUGAAGAAAAAACAGAGGAAAAAUCAUAGAAAAAUAGACAAGACCUUGGAAGAUUUUCUUUCAUCCUCUAUCUUAGUUCCUUGCUCUAGAGAAGAUCAGAAGUUCAGUUGCAAGUUCAGUAAGGGAAAGGAUCAUCUGAGUUCUUCUGUUAGUCAGUUGUGCUGCUUGCGAGUCUUGCUGUCUCACUCCAGUCGUCCUUGUACCCGUGUACUCCUUU